AUUGAACGCUGGCGGCAUGCUUUACACAUGCAAGUCGAACGGUAACAGGCCGCAAGGUGCUGACGAGUGGCGAACGGGUGAGUAAUGCAUCGGAACGUGCCCAGUCGUGGGGGAUAACGCAGCGAAAGCUGCGCUAAUACCGCAUACGAUCUAUGGAUGAAAGCGGGGGACCGUAAGGCCUCGCGCGAUUAGAGCGGCCGAUGUCAGAUUAGGUAGUUGGUGGGGUAAAGGCUCACCAAGCCAAAGAUCUGUAGCUGGUCUGAGAGGACGACCAGCCACACUGGGACUGAGAAGCGGCCCAGACUCCUACGGGAGGCAGCAGUGGGGAAUUUUGGACAAUGGGCGCAAGCCUGAUCCAGCAAUGCCGCGUGCAGGAAGAAGGCCCUCGGGUUGUAAACUGCUUUUGUACGGAACGAAACGGUCCGGGUUAAUACCCUGGGCUAAUGACGGUACCGUAAGAAUAAGCACCGGCUAACUACGUGCCAGCCGCCGCAGUAACAC
rnacentral:rRNA from 1 species